UGCAGUCGAACGAUGAUCCCAGCUUGCUGGGGGAUUAGUGGCGAACGGGUGAGUAACACGUGAGUAACCUGCCCUUGACUCUGGGAUAAGCCUGGGAAACUGGGUCUAAUACCGGAUACGACCAUCUGGCGCAUGUCAUGGUGGUGGAAAGCUUUUGUGGUUUUGGAUGGACUCGCGGCCUAUCAGCUUGUUGGUGGGGUAAUGGCCUACCAAGGCGACGACGGGUAGCCGGCCUGAGAGGGUGACCGGCCACACUGGGACUGAGACACGGCCCAGACUCCUACGGGAGGCAGCAGUGGGGAAUAUUGCACAAUGGGCGAAAGCCUGAUGCAGCGACGCCGCGUGAGGGAUGACGGCCUUCGGGUUGUAAACCUCUUUCAGUAGGGAAGAAGCGAAAGUGACGGUACCUGCAGAAGAAGCGCCGGCUAACUACGUGCCAGCAGCCGCGGUAAUACGUAGGGCGCAAGCGUUAUCCGGAAUUAUUGGGCGUAAAGAGCUCGUAGGCGGUUUGUCGCGUCUGCUGUGAAAGACCGGGGCUCAACUCCGGUUCUGCAGUGGGUACGGGCAGACUAGAGUGCAGUAGGGGAGACUGGAAUUCCUGGUGUAGCGGUGAAAUGCGCAGAUAUCAGGAGGAACACCGAUGGCGAAGGCAGGUCUCUGGGCUGUAACUGACGCUGAGGAGCGAAAGCAUGGGGAGCGAACAGGAUUAGAUACCCUGGUAGUCCAUGCCGUAAACGUUGGGCACUAGGUGUGGGGGACAUUCCACGUUUUCCGCGCCGUAGCUAACGCAUUAAGUGCCCCGCCUGGGGAGUACGGCCGCAAGGCUAAAACUCAAAGGAAUUGACGGGGGCCCGCACAAGCGGCGGAGCAUGCGGAUUAAUUCGAUGCAACGCGAAGAACCUUACCAAGGCUUGACAUGAACCGGAAAGACCUGGAAACAGGUGCCCCGCUUGCGGUCGGUUUACAGGUGGUGCAUGGUUGUCGUCAGCUCGUGUCGUGAGAUGUUGGGUUAAGUCCCGCAACGAGCGCAACCCUCGUUCUAUGUUGCCAGCGCGUUAUGGCGGGGACUCAUAGGAGACUGCCGGGGUCAACUCG
rnacentral:rRNA from 1 species